rnacentral:rRNA from 1 species
UACGGGGGGAGCAAGCGUUGUUCGGAUUUACUGGGCGUAAAGGGCGCGUAGGCGGCCAGCACAAGUCAGUUGUGAAAUCUCCGGGCUUAACUCGGAAAGGUCAACUGAUACUGUGCGGCUAGAGUGCAGGAGAGGAACGCGGAAUUCCAGGUGUAGCGGUGAAAUGCGUAGAUAUCUGGAGGAACACCGGUGGCGAAGGCGGCGUUCUGGACUGUAACUGACACUGAUGAACGAAAGCCAGGGGAGCAAACGGG